CCAAACCAACACACACAUGUUAAGCAUCUAAGCGUCAUUUGUCUCUGCGGCGCAUUGUGAAAACGGCGAUUACGUGAUUUCUUUCGAUCGAUUAUUAAUUGAGGUGUUAUUUAAUAGUGAGCAACUCAACUAUGAAUAUCAAUAACAACCAACAAAUGACUAAACCUUAUACUUCAAAUGAAAAGAUCUAGCAGAAAUUAUAAAUAAAGAUUAAAAUGUAAAACAAGGAGAACAACGUUAUAACAAUCUAAAUCUUCAACAAAAACAAAUAGUUGACAUGAUUUUUGAAGCAGUUCACAAUUCAAACUAUUCCGGUUCUAGGUGCAUUUAUAUGGAUGGACCAGGAGGAUCUGGAAAAACCUAUAUUGCUUCCAAAUGGAAAAACUGUACAUGAAACUUUUGGAUUACCAGUACCUAUGUUUCAAGAUUCAUCUUCGAAUAUUAAAGCACAAUCUCGUAAAGCUUAAAUAAUAAGAGAAACUGAAAUAUUUAUAUAGGAUGACAUUUCAAUGACUCCAAGAUAUGCAUUGGAAAUUGUAAAUAGAACCUUACAAAAUUUUAUGAACAAUGAUUUGCCUUUUGGAGGAAAAAUUAUCAUAGUAGGAGGAGAUUUAAAGCAAUUGUUACCAAGUAAAGUUUGAGGAACACGAAGUGAAAUAUUAAGUUUUGUGUUAAGUAUAGUGAAGUAUGGAAAUAUUUUACUAAAUUUACUUUAACUGCCAACAUGAGAGUUUUAUCAAAUGAAAUAGAAUAUUCUAAAUUUCUAUUAGAUAUUGGAAAUGGAAUAUUAAAUGAUAAAAAUGACUGCAUAACUAUUCCUGAACAUUGUAUACUCCCCCACAUGCUAAUAUAAUUUAUAUGUUUAGUAACUUAAUUAGAAAAAAUAAAUUCCAAGAAAUGAGUAAAUGUGCUAUAUUAUCAGCUAGAAAUAUUGACGUAGACGAUAUUAACAAACAAAUUACUAAUUUAUUGAAUAAAGAUUCUGAACGAAUAUAUACCGCUAUUGAUACCGCUGUUAAUAACAAUGGUGAAUUAGACGAUCUUAUUUUACCAGAACAUUUGCAUAAUUUAAAUCCGCCAAGUUUACCUCCUCAUGAAUUACGAUUACGAAAAAAUUGUAUUAUAAUGCUUAUUAGAAAUAUUAGUAUUAAUGAAGGCUUAUGUAACGGAAGAUGUUUCCAAAUAAUAGAUUUUACGAACCACUUAAUAAAAUUUGAAAUUUUAACAGGUGAUAAAGUUAAUGAAAUUGUCUUCUUAAACCGUAUAACACUGUAUUCUGAAAAUGAUUAUCCAUUCACAUUUAAAAGAAGACAAUUUCCAAUCAAACUAGCUUUUGCAAUGACCAUUAAUAAAGCUCAAGGACAAACAUUUAAAAACACUAUUAUUGAUCUUAGAAGAGACGUGUUCAAUC